rnacentral:lncRNA from 10 species
AUUUUCACAACAUUGAUUCUUCCUAUCCAUGAGCAUGGAAUGGUCUUCCAUUUGUUUGUGUCCUCUUUUAUUUCGUUGAGCAGCGGUUUGUAGUUCUCCUUGAAGAGGUCCUUUACAUCCCUUGUAAGUUGGAUUAUUGGUAUUUUAUUCUCUCUGAAGCAGUUGUGAAUGGGAGUUCACUCAUGAUUUGGCUGUUUGUCUGUUAUUGGUUUAUAGGAAUGCUUGUGAUUUUUGCACAUCAAUUUUGUAUCCUGAGACUUUGCUGAAGUUGCUUAUCAGCUUAAGGAGAUUUUGGGCUGAGAUGAUGGGGUUUUCUAAAUAUACAAUCAUGUCAUCGGCAAACAGGGACAAUUUGACUUCCUUUUUUCCUAAUUGAAUACCCUUUAUUUCUUUCUCCUGCCUGAUUGCCCUGGCCAGAACUUCCAACACUAUGUUGAAUAGGAGUGGUGAGAGAGGGCAUCCCUGUCUUGUGCCAGUUUUCAAAGGGAAUGCUUCCAGUUUUUGCCCAUUCAGUAUGAUAUUGGCUGUGGGUUUGUCAUAGAUAGCUCUUAUUAUUUUGAGAUAUGUCCCAUCAAUACCUAGUUUAUUGAGAGUUUUUAGCAUGAAGGUUGUUGAAUUUUGUCAAAGGCCUUUUCUGCAUCUAUUGAGAUAAUCAUGUGGUUUUUGUCUUUGGUUCUGUUUAUAUGAUGGAUUACGUUUAUUGAUUUGCAUAUGUUGAACCAGCCUUGCAUCCCAGGGAUGAAGCCCACUUGAUCAUGGUGGAUAAGCUUUUUGAUGUGCUGCUGGAUUUAGUUUGCCAGUAUUUUGUUGAGGAUUUUUGCAUCGAUGUUCAUCAGGGAUAUUGGUCUAAAAUUGUCUUUUUUUUGUUGUGUCUCUGCCAGGCUUUGGUGUCAGGAUGAUGCUGGCCUCAUAAAAUGAGUUAGGGAGGAGUCCCUCUUUUUCUGUUGAUUGGAAUAGUUUCAGAAGGAAUGGUACCAGCUCCUCUUUGUACCUCUGGUAGAAUUUGGCUGUGAAUCCAUCUGGUCCUGGACUUUUUUUGGUUGGUAGGCUAUUAAUUAUUGCCUCAAUUUCAGAGCCAGUUAUUGGUCUAUUCAGGGAUUCAACUUCUUCCUUGUUUAGUCUUGGGAGGGUGUAUGUGUCCAGGAAUUUAUCCAUUUCUUCUAGAUUUUCUAGUUUAUUUGUGUAGAGGUGUUUAUAGUAUUUUCUGAUGGUAGUUUGUCUUUCUGUGGGAUCAGUGGUGAUAACCCCUUUAUCAUUUUUUAUUGCGUCUAUUUGAUUCUUCUCUCUUUUCUUCUUUAUUAGUCUUGCUAGCGGUCUAUCAGUUUUGUUGAUCUUUUCAAAAAACCAGCUCCUGGAUUCAUUGAUUUUUUGAAGGGUUUUUUGUGUCUCUAUCUCCUUCAGUUCUGCUCUGAUCUUAGUUAUUUCUUGCCUUCUGCUAGCUUUUGAAUGUGUUUGCUCUUGCUUCUCUAGUUCUUUUAAUUGUGAAGUUAGGGUAUCAAUUUUAGAUCUUUCCUGCUUUCUCUUGUGGGCAUUUAGUGCUAUAAAUUUCUGUCUACCCACUGCUUUAAAUGUGUCCCAGAGAUUCUGGUAUGUUGUGGCUUUGUUCUCAUUGGUUUCAAAGAACAUCUUUAUUUCUGCCUUCACUUCGUUAUGUACCCAGUAGUUAUUCAGGAGCAGGUUGUUCUGUUUCCAUGUAGUUGAGCGGUUUUGAGUGAGUUUCUUAAUCCUGAUUUCUAGUUUGAUUGCACUGUGGUCUGGGAGACAGUUUGUUAUAAUUUCUGUUCUUUUACAUUUGCUGAGGAGUGCUUUACUUCCAAUUAUGUGGUCGCUUUACUUCCAAUUAUGUGGUCAAUUUUGGAAUAAGUGAGAUAUGUGGUGCUGAGAAGGAUGUAGAUUCUGUUGAUUUGGGGUGGAGAGUUCUGUAGAUGUCUAUUAGGUCUGCUUGGUGCAGAGCUGAGUUCAAUUCCUGGAUAUCCUUGUUAACUUUUAGUCUCAUUGAUCUGUCUAAUGUUGACAGUGGGAUGUUGAAGUCUCCCACUAUUAUUGUGUAGGAGUCUAAGUCUCUUUGUAAGUCUCUAAGGACUUGCUUUAUGAAUCUGGGUGCGCCUGUAUUGGGUGCAUAUAUAUUUAGGAUAGUUAGCUCUUUUGUUGAAUUGAUCCCUUUAUCAUUAUGUAAUGGCCUUCUUUGUCUCUUUUGAUCUUUGUUGAUUUAAAGUCUGUUUUAUCAGAGACUAGGAUUGCAACCCCUGCUUUUUUUGUUUUCCAUUUGCUUGGUAGAUCUUCUUCCAUCCCUUUUAUUUUGAGCCUAUGUGUGUCUCUGCACGUGAGGUGGGUCUCCUGAAUAGAGCACACUGAUGGGUCUUGACUGUUUAUCCAAUUUGCCAGUCUGUGUCUUUUAAUUGGAGCAUUUAGCCCAUUUACACUUAAGGUUAAUAUUGUUAUAUGUGAAUUUGAUCCUGUCAUUAUGAUGUUAGCUGGUUAUUUUGCCCGUUAGUUGAUGCAGUUUCUUCCUAGCAUCUAUGGUCUUUACAGUUUGGCAUGUUUUUGCAGUGGCUGGUACCAGUUGUUCCUUUCCAUGUUUAGUGCUUCCUUCAGGAGCUCUUGUAAGGCAGGCCUGGUGGUGACAAAAUUUCUUAGCAUUUGCUUGUCUGUAGAGGAUUUUAUUUCUCCUUUACUUUUGAAGCUUAGUUUGGCUGGAUAUGAAAUUCUGGGUUGAAAAUUCUUUUCUUUAAGAAUGUUGAAUAUUGGCCCCCACUCUCUUCUGGCUUGUAGAGUUUCUGCCGAGAGAUCCGCUAUUAGUCUGAUAGGCUUCCCUUUGUGGGUAACCCGACCUUUCUCUCUGGCUGAGUGGCAACCAGUUUUAGAAAUGUGGUCAUGAUAUAGAAUUUCUAGGGCAGAUCUUGGUAAAAAACAAAAACAAGAAAAACUGCCAGGCACGGUGGCUCACGCCUGUAAUCUCAGCACUUUGGGAGGCCGAGGUGAGAGGGUUGCUUGAGCUCAGGAGUUCAAGAGCAGCAUGGGCAACAUAGCAAGACCCUGUCUCUACAAAAAAUUUAAAAAUUAGCUGGGCAUGGUGGGGCACACCUAUAGUGCCAGCUACUUGGGAGGCUAAGGUGGGAGGAUCCCUUGAGCCCAGGAAUUU